GAUGAACGCUGGCGGCGUGCCUAAUACAUGCAAGUCGAGCGAACGGACGAGAAGCUUGCUUUUCUGAUGUUAGCGGCGGACGGGUGAGUAACACGUGGAUAACCUACCUAUAAGACUGGGAUAACUUCGGGAAACCUGAGCUAAUACCGGAUAAUAUUUUGAACCGCAUGGUUCAAAAGUGAAAGACGGUCUUGCUGUCACUUAUAGAUGGAUCCGCGCUGCAUUAGCUAGUUGGUAAGGUAACGGCUUACCAAGGCAACGAUGCAUAUCCGACCUGAGAGGGUGAUAGGCGACCUUGGAGCUGAGACACGGUCCAGACUCCUACGGGAGGCAGCAGUAGGGAAUCUUCCGCAAUGGGCGAAAGCAUGACGGAGCAACGCCGCGUGAGUGAUGAAGGUCUUCGGAGCGUAAAACUCUGUUAUUAGGGAAGAACAUAUGUGUAAGUAACUGUGCACAUCUUGACGGUACCUAAUCAGAAAGCCACGGCUAACUACGUG
rnacentral:rRNA from 1 species